CACAUGACCUUAAAAAAUAGCUCCACAAUACACCACCUUUUGAUUUAAUUGCAAUUUGCACAUGCGUUGACCAUCCCUAAAAUCUUAGAUGACGUGUCUCCCGGAAUUUGCAGACGUGGACGCACCGGCGAUCAUGUAAAACGACGUCGUUUUGUCAAGCUUUUUUAAAUAAAAAAAAUUAAAAAAGAAAAAACUGUUGUUGCUUUACGCCCCCGCCCCCGCCGCCGGCUGCAGGUGUGCCGGGUGGUCACGAAUCUCCGGCCACCACAACAUCACCGCCGCAACACCACCACAGAUCUGCAAACCAAAAUGGAAAUCCCCAAAUCCUCAGCCACACAAAAAAACCCUAGAUAUGCAAAUCUACAAACAUCAAAUCCAC
rnacentral:lncRNA from 1 species